GACGAACGCUGGCGGCGUGCUUAACACAUGCAAGUCGAGCGGGUAAGGCCCGUUUCGGGGGUACACGAGCGGCGAACGGGUGAGUAACACGUGGGUGACCUGCCCUCAGCUCUGGGAUAAGCCGUGGGAAACCGGGUCUAAUACUGGAUAUGACUCCAUGACGCAUGUUGUGGGUGGAAAGCCUUGUGCGGCUGAGGAUGGGCCCGCGGCCUAUCAGCUUGUUGGUGGGUGANGGCCUACCAAGGCGACGACGGUAGCCGGCCUGAGAGGGCGACCGGCCACACUGGGACUGAGACACGGCCCAGACUCCUACGGGAGGCAG
rnacentral:rRNA from 1 species